rnacentral:rRNA from 1 species
GACGAACGCUGGCGGCGUGCUUAACACAUGCAAGUCGAACGGAAAGGCCCUCUCGGGGGUGCUCGAGUGGCGAACGGGUGAGUAACACGUGGGUGAUCUGCCCUGAACUUUGGGAUAAGCCUGGGAAACUGGGUCUAAUACCGGAUAUGACCAGUGGGUGCAUGCUUGCUGGUGGAAAGCCUUGUGCGGUUUGGGAUGGGCCCGCGGCCUAUCAGCUUGUUGGUGGGGUAAUGGCCUACCAAGGCGACGACGGGUAGCCGACCUGAGAGGGUGAUCGGCCACACUGGGACUGAGACACGGCCCAGACUCCUACGGGAGGCAGCAGUGGGGAAUAUUGCACAAUGGGCGCAAGCCUGAUGCAGCGACGCCGCGUGAGGGAUGACGG